rnacentral:lncRNA from 1 species
ACUUGUCAUGUGCUUGCAGGAAGUCUAUUCACAUUUUGUUUCAACAUAUGCAGAGCAACAGGAAAUGACAGUGGACUUCCCUAGUCUGAAGAAUUUCCACAAUUGGACAAAUUUAAAUGGAGUGUUGUUCAUAGUUAAGCCUCAAGAGGUUUUGUUUUAUGUAGUAGAACUUUCAGAAUUUUACAGCAGUGAAUGGAAAGGAUGAAAGUAUAAUAAUAUAAAGUUUAAAUUUAAAACAACACAAAUGGCAAUAUCUUUGACAGGGUCCCAGGAAGAUGAGUUUAUAAAAAUCAUCAAUGUCUUCAGAAAUGUCAAAUAGUAGAGCUGAAAGCUCAAUGGUUGAGCUAUGCUCAAAGCUGUAGAACUGUCACAUCUAUUUUCUUGCAGCAUUAUAAGAAUGGGUCUGGCAGACAAUCUGUGGUCUUCAGAGAGUGCCAAUAGCCCAGAUACCCACAGAGCUACACCUCAAAGUGCCAAGAGAAACUCCAUCCAUACAGGAGUGGCUGUAUCUUUGCAAAUUAAUUUACUUGAAGAAAUUGCUCUUCUCCAGAAAACAAAUUCAGAGAGGACACAUACCCUGCUGAUAACCCAAGUAAAAUCACUCUGUUGA